UACGGAGGGUCCAAGCGUUAUCCGGAAUCAUUGGGUUUAAAGGGUCCGUAGGCGGUUUGUAAGUCAGUGGUGAAAGCCCAUCGCUCAACGGUGGAACGGCCAUUGAUACUGCAAGACUUGAAUUAUUAGGAAGUAACUAGAAUAUGUAGUGUAGCGGUGAAAUGCUUAGAGAUUACAUGGAAUACCAAUUGCGAAGGCAGGUUACUACUAAUGGAUUGACGCUGAUGGACGAAAGCGUGGGGAGCGAACAGG
rnacentral:rRNA from 1 species